rnacentral:rRNA from 1 species
UGCAGUCGAGCGGGCGUAGCAGUACGUCAGCGGCAGACGGGUGAGUAACGCGUGGGAACGUACCUUUUGGUUCGGAACAACACAGGGAAACUUGUGCUAAUACCGGAUAAGCCCUUACGGGGAAAGAUUUAUCGCCGAAAGAUCGGCCCGCGUCUGAUUAGCUUGUUGGUGAGGUAACGGCUCACCAAGGCGACGAUCAGUAGCUGGUCUGAGAGGAUGAUCAGCCACAUUGGGACUGAGACACGGCCCAAACUCAUACGGGAGGCAGCAGUGGGGAAUAUUGGACAAUGGGCGCAAGCCUGAUCCAGCCAUGCCGCGUGAGUGAUGAAGGCCCUAGGGUUGUAAAGCUCUUUUGUGCGGGAAGAUAAUGACGGUACCGCAAGAAUAAGCCCCGGCUAACUUCGUGCCAGCAGCCGCGGUAAUACGAUGGUGGUUAGCGUUGCUCGGAAUCACCCCCCCGUAAAGGGUGCGUAGGCGGGUCUUUAAGUCAGAGGUGAAAGCCUGGAGCUCAACUCCAGAACUGCCUUUGAUACUGAGGAUCUUGAGUUCGGGAGAGGUGAGUGGAACUGCGAGUGUAGAGGUGAAAUUCGUAGAUAUUCGCAAGAACACCAGUGGCGAAGGCGGCUCACUGGCCCGAUACUGACGCUGAG